CCUUUGUUCCAGAAGGUACUUGUGGCAUAGUUGAGUAAGAAAGAUGGCCGUUUGUUUCGAUUUGCUUAUGUGAGUAAGUUUAUAUGGAGAACUGAAGCCAAACGUAUAAUUUCCAGGAGUUAAAGCCCUUUGGUUGAGAGCAACGUUCAGUAACGUUAUUGACUGGAUGAGUUCCACGUGAGGAUGGACUCCAGAAGAUAUCUAUUGCGUAGAGAUGGAUGUUCGAUCUGAACGCGUUUUAUGGUGAUAUGCACUGUCCUUCUUGUUCUUGAGUCAAGUCAGAACAGGAACCUGCGGUCCUGAAUCCUUCCUGACAACGAGAGAAAUUUAAAACCACAUCCAGUCUUUGUCUGCGUGUGUCGAAAAGCUCUUUGUGGGAGUUCAAGCCGAUUAUUUCACAGUGUAGUUGGACUGGACUAUCUUACAAACUUUCUUCAUCACGGACAAUUUCUUCUCCAUUACACAAAGUACGCUGGCUGUUUUCGUUUACAUUUAGACGUUUUUACGGUUCCCUUUGUUGUCAGACAAGAUGGCUUCCCGCGAGUUUCGGUGAUUUAUGAAUCCUGACAUAUCUUAGACGAUCGUCUUUGGAUGUCAAACUGAGAGUUUAAUUUAGAUUUUCACUUUAAGUUCUGAAUGAAAUUAUUACUUAGAGAUGAGCGGAAACAGUCGGAGUACUGCGUGUCUGGAUAAGAAAGAAAACCGCGACUGUUUUGUGAGAGUUUUGUAAUGAAAAUUAAUGGCUGCUUUGUGUCCCGCAUUGAAGCUGUCUUUGGAGUAGAACUGCCUCUUUUUUUGAGGAUUUAUGGACAAUAUUAUAUAAUUUUUAUGGGGCAGUUAUUUCCUGAACUCUUACCAAACCUAAUUUGCAAUUAUUUUAUAUGACUAAAAUAAGACUGAACAUGGAGGCGCCAUCAAAAUGGCGUACUCGUUUCUUGUGGAAAGAAUUCUCUUCGUUAAAUUAAAAACAUUGCCUUUAA